rnacentral:rRNA from 1 species
UACGGAGGGAGCUAGCGUUGUUCGGAAUUACUGGGCGUAAAGCGUGCGCAGGCGGUUUUGUAAGUCCGGCGUGAAAUCCCCGAGCUCAACUUGGGAAUGGCGCUUGUGACUGCAAGGCUAGAGUAUGUCAGAGGGGGGUAGAAUUCCACGUGUAGCAGUGAAAUGCGUAGAGAUGUGGAGGAAUACCGAUGGCGAAGGCAGCCCCCUGGGACGUCACUGACGCUCAUGCACGAAAGCGUGGGGAGCAAACAGG